rfam:Oryza rufipogon genomic scaffold, chr04
ACCUAUGAUGCAGUGCCCAAAAUGUGAGAUGUAGGUUUCUCCAAGUCCCUGUUAGUCAGGGAGAACCUACUUGGGGGGCCUACAUUAUAAUGAGAUUAAUGGGCUGUUACUGAGGU